CCCUUAGAUGUUCUGGGCCGCACGCGCGCUACACUGAUGCAUUCAACGAGUCUAGAACCUGCUCUGAUAGGGGUGGGUAAUCUUUUGAAUGUGCAUCGUGAUUGGGAUAGAUGAUUGCAAUUUUUCAUCUUCAACGAGGAAUGCCUAGUAAACGCAAGUCAUCAGCUUGCAUUGAUUACGUCCCUGCCCUUUGUACACACCGCCCGUCGCUCCUACCGAUUGAAUGAUCCGAUGAAUAUCAUGGAUUGAGGAUGCAAGUAGGUUCGCCUAUCUUCAUCUUCGAGAAGUGAAGUAAAUCUUAUCAUUUAGAGGAAGGAGAAGUCGUAACA
rnacentral:rRNA from 1 species